UGGCGGCAGGCCUAACACAUGCAAGUCGAGCGGUUGAAGGAAGCUUGCUUCCUGAUUCAGCGGCGGACGGGUGAGUAAUGCCUAGGAAUCUGCCUGGUAGUGGGGGACAACGUUUCGAAAGGAACGCUAAUACCGCAUACGUCCUACGGGAGAAAGCAGGGGACCUUCGGGCCUUGCGCUAUCAGAUGAGCCUAGGUCGGAUUAGCUAGUUGGUGAGGUAAUGGCUCACCAAGGCGACGAUCCGUAACUGGUCUGAGAGGAUGAUCAGUCACACUGGAACUGAGACACGGUCCAGACUCCUACGGGAGGCAGCAGUGGGGAAUAUUGGACAAUGGGCGAAAGCCUGAUCCAGCCAUGCCGCGUGUGUGAAGAAGGUCUUCGGAUUGUAAAGCACUUUAAGUUGGGAGGAAGGGCAGUCAGCGAAUACCUUGCUGUCUUGACGUUACCGACAGAAUAAGCACCGGCUAACUCUGUGCCAGCAGCCGCGGUAAUACAGAGGGUGCAAGCGUUAAUCGGAAUUACUGGGCGUAAAGCGCGCGUAGGUGGUUUGUUAAGUUGAAUGUGAAAUCCCCGGGCUCAACCUGGGAACUGCAUCCAAAACUGGCAAGCUAGAGUAGGGCAGAGGGUGGUGGAAUUUCCUGUGUAGCGGUGAAAUGCGUAGAUAUAGGAAGGAACACCAGUGGCGAAGGCGACCACCUGGGCU
rnacentral:rRNA from 1 species